rnacentral:tRNA from 1 species
GGGGAUAUAGCUUAGUGGUAGAGCACUUGCCUAGCAUGCACGAGGCCCUGGAUUCCAUCUCUGGUUCCACUA